GCAAAUAUCCUUCGGAUCAUUAGUCCUUUCUCACAAACAUGAUUCGCAUUAGUCUGGACCAAUAUUGAUACUGAUCUUGAAACAAAAGCAUGCAGCUGAUAGUUGGACGGACAAGAACUUCACCCUUUAAAAGGCAUGUUACGGGCCAUUAUCAUCACGAGUGUCCAACCAUAUACUCCGAAGACACAUGAUGAAGUCCGUGAUUCUGAUUUUGUGCGCUCUUUUGGUGGUCGUCACCGGCAGAAAUCUAGGUGAAGAUCGCCAUGUAUUUAUCAGGGAUCUUGAUCCAAGUGAACUGGCGGAUCCUCCCAUCCAGGACCCGAAUAUUGACGAUUCAGGAACGGACAAUGACACAUCUUCAUGUACCAUUAGAACAACCGUGGAAGGAAGUGGCUUGCAGGCUUUUACAAAGAUAGUGGUGGCUAUAUCUGUUGGAGCCUGUGAGAUAGCAUGCCUAGAAGAGAUUCAGGCUGGGGGCGUAUGCAAGUCCGCAACAUACGAUUCCCAGAAUAAGAUUUGCAUGUUUCACACCCUCACAAGGGCUGAAAUGCCAAGUGACUUCCAGUCAAUAAACAGCUUUUACACCUACUUAGAGCCGGUGUGUCCAGACGAGACGCUCACCAGUGUUACUGGACCUACUGACGUGACCACUACUCCACUCCCUUCUGGUGGCACCACCCCGGAGGCAUCUUACAGCAGCCGGGCUCGCAGUGAGUAUUUCCGAUCCAUAUGCAGGCCCUC